CCCUGAUUAAAAAGUAUAGAAUGUAAGACAUUCUGUAUGGUUCAGACCUCACUGGAGAAAGGGUAGUUGAACCCACUGGGUGGCUGUGCUAAUUUUUUGGGCCAGAGCUUCUCUGCAGUUCUGGGACAAGCAGGCAUCAGCCCCCCUCCGGAGCACAGGUGGGCCAGGCAAGCCGCAGGUCCUGGCCGCAGUGGUCGCGCCGCGGGAGUGGGUCGUAGGUGCAACAGGCGGCCCGGAGCGCGGUGUCCCUGUUGGGAGGGGCACCGCUUCCCUAAGAUUGCGGGAGACACACCUGGGGGAAGAGGGAGGGACGAGCAGAGGCAGCACAACAGAGGUGCAGGCAGGAGGCUUCGUGCCUCGGUGUCCCUGUCGCGAGGGCUGCAGGGGGUUGGUGGCGAGGCCAGGGCGCAACUGCAAGCCCCCGGAUUCGCGGCCAGACUGCGCAUUCCAACCGCGGUGCCCCCAGAUGUUCCCACCCGCCAGGCCGACUCCCGAGGGGGCCUCCCGAAACUGCAGGAGCCCCCUUCUUCUUGCCAUGUCUCUCUAGCGCCCUCUACUGAGAAGCUUUGCAUCGUGCUCACUCGAAAAACGCUGAAAGGAAUUCUGUGGUUUAAUCACAGAGCAUGUUUUGAAGGGUAAAUUGGGAGCUGAGAGUCCUUUGAUGCCUGGCACAGUAGGUGUGUCCGCAUCGUCGUGCACACGGUAAGUCCACAGGCCCUGUGUGCUCCCUUUGUCUGCAGCUGUGACAUCAAGGGUCCCUCCAGCCCGGCCUCGCGGCAAAGCUGAGCAGCAAAGGAAGGCAGAGGGGUGGGCCUUGCCGGCUUUGGGCCCAGAGGCUGGAGGCUGGGCUCCCUCUUUCUUCCCUUCCUCCUUUCCUCUUUCCCUCCUUCCUUUCUUCCUUGCUUCUCCCUCCUCCCCUCCCUGCCUCCCUCCUCCCAUCUCUGUCUCCCUCUUCCCCUCCCUGCUUCCCUCCUCCCCACCUUCCCUCCCUCUUCCCCUCCUUCCCUCCCUCUUCCCCUCCUUCCCUCCCUCUUCCCCUCCUUCCCUCCCUCUUCCCCUCCUUCCCUCCCUCCUCAAGCACAACACAUCCACAUCGGCCCCCAGCCCAGCGCAGCUUUAAGAGACCCACUUACCUCAGAGGAACCCAAUCAAUCCCCACAAACACCUCUCUAGAAUAGGAAGAUGGAGAUACAGAGACAGUCCCACUCUAUCGCCAGGGUAGAGUGCAGUGGUGCAAUCAUGGCCCUCUGCAGCCUCCAACUCCUGGGCUCAAGCUAUUGUCCUAUCACAGCCUCUCAAGUAGCUUGGACUGCAGAGACUAUCAGAAUGCACUCCAUGGGCCCGACCAAUUCCUUUCUCACUUAUCAUGAAUAAAGCUGAAGACACUGAAAAUCAACAACUUUUCUGGGACCCUUCGGACAACUGCAGUCACAAGGUAAACUACCAUUUUUAAAUAUGGAGACAGAGGAAUACAGAGUACAACUGACAUCAGCUUACCUGGAGCAGGAACCACGGAACUAAAAAGUGGAUGGAUCACCUGAAUGGCUAACUAAUUGGAAGUUCACAGACUGUUCAUAUCCUCUCACAAUAUUCAAACUGGUGAAAUCUUCAUACUGACAAACCAUCAUAAUU
rnacentral:lncRNA from 1 species